rnacentral:rRNA from 1 species
CUCCAACCCCUGUGACAUACCUUACUGUUGCCUCGGCGGAUCAGCCCGCUCCCGGUAAAACGGGACGGCCCGCCAGAGGACCCCUAAACUCUGUUUCUAUAUGUAACUUCUGAGUAAAACCAUAAAUAAAUCAAAACUUUCAACAACGGAUCUCUUGGUUCUGGCAUCGAUGAAGAACGCAGCAAAAUGCGAUAAGUAAUGUGAAUUGCAGAAUUCAGUGAAUCAUCGAAUCUUUGAACGCACAUUGCGCCCGCCAGUAUUCUGGCGGGCAUGCCUGUUCGAGCGUCAUUUCAACCCUCAAGCCCUCGGGUUUGGUGUUGGGGAUCGGCGAGCCUUUCUGGCAAGCCGGCCCCGAAAUCUAGUGGCGGUCUCGCUGCAGCCUCCAUUGCGUAGUAGUAAAACCCUCGCAACUGGAACGCGGCGCGGCCAAGCCGUUAAACCCCCAACUUCUGAAUGUUGACCUCGGAUCAGGUAGGAAUACCCGCUGAACUUAAGCAUAU